GACAGAGGUGCCGAGCGUUAGGCGGAAUCACUGGGCUUAAAGCGUGUGUAGGCGGGCCGUUAAGUACCUUGUGAAAUCCCCCGGCUCAACCGGGGAACGGCUGGGUAUACUGGCGGUCUUGAGGGACCUAGGGGCGGACGGAACAAGCGGUGGAGCGGUGAAAUGCGUAGAUAUCGCUUGGAACGCCGACGGUGAAAACAGUCCGCUGGGGGUUUCCUGACGCUGAGACACGAAAGCCAGGGGAGCGAACGGG
rnacentral:rRNA from 1 species